UGUACUUAGGUGAGGUUUUAGAAUUUGUGCCAAAUGUUCGGACUCCUUGGUGUUUUUCCAUACAACACAAUGUAAAAUAGUUUGCCCCAUAACACCCAUUUAUUUUUUCAUAUAAGAUUUAAUACCUCAUGAAAGGACAUUUACCAAAAUUUUAGAAGAUUCUUAAUUUUUUUCUUUUGUUUUGAGACCCGAUAAUACCAAUGCAAAUAUAAGGUAAAAGUCCGAGUCAGUCUUUUCCCUCCAUAUUUUAAAUCUCAAAUAUCUCGAAAAGGAGGUCCAUGACCUAUAAAUAGUUUUAGCUUAUAUUUAUCCUUAAUUGAUGCUCUACCAGCUUAUGGUAUCAAUUUUAACUUCUUAAUUUAUUAAUUUUCACCUAACCUCACC
rnacentral:lncRNA from 1 species